rnacentral:rRNA from 1 species
UACGGAGGUGCAAGCGUUAUCCGGAUUCACUGGGUUAAAGGGAAGCGUAGGUGGGUUGGUAAGUCAGUGGUGAAAUCCCCGAGCUUAACUUGGGAACUGCCAUUGAUACUAUCAGUCUUGAAUACUGUGGAGGUUAGCGGAAUAUGUCAUGUAGCGGUGAAAUGCUUAGAUAUGACAUAGAACACCAAUUGCGAAGGCAGCUCACUACGGGAUUAUUGACACUGAGGCACGAAAGCGUGGGAUC